UUCGGCAAACCAUUCGAAAGGGUGGGACGCAAAGCUUCCGGUCUGUCAGCAUUUAAAAAUCUAAAAGAAUGCUCAUGAUAGCGGGGUUACCAUG
rnacentral:ncRNA from 1 species